rnacentral:rRNA from 1 species
GUGAGGAAUAUUGCGCAAUGGAGGCAACUCUGACGCAGCCAUGCCGCGUGCAGGAAGAAGGCGCUACGCGUUGUAAACUGCUUUUAACCGGGAAGAAACCCCAAGACGUGUCCUGGGUUGACGGUACCGGAGGAAUAAGCACCGGCUAACUUCGUGCCAGCAGCCGCGGUACUACGAAGGGUGCAAGCGUUAUCCGGAUUCAUUGGGUUUAAAGGGUGCGUAGGCGGAGCGUUAAGUCAGUGGUGAAAUCCUGCAGCUUAACUGUAGACUUGCCAUUGAUACUGGCGCUCUUGAGUGCGCUUGAAGUGGGCGGAAUGUGCCGUGUAGCGGUGAAAUGCUUAGAUAUGGCACAGAACACCAAUUGCGAAGGCAGCUCACUAAGGCGAUACUGACGCUGAGGCACGAAAGCGUGGGGAUCGAACAGGAUUAGAUACCCUGGUAGUCC